GUGGAGAUGGCUCAGUGGUUAAGAGCACCAGUUCACCUUCCAGAGGACCUGGGUUCAAUUCCCAGCACCCACA
rnacentral:tRNA from 2 species